UUUUACACCCGGAGUCCAUUGUAAUUAAUACUUUUAUUCUCACACAUGGAGAGGCAGGGGGGAAAACGCAGAGUAAUAUUUCUUCAUUAAUUUUCCCUAGUUAAAAUCAUGUUGAACAUAUCUUUAUGCUUUCUUAUUCCUAUAUUUUUUUCAUUUAUUGUGUUUUGUAAUUACUAUUACUUUUAAAACCAUAUUCACGCCAGUUUUUGCACAACACCAGUUUUUUUUUUCCCUUCCUUCCUCAUUGAAGGUUUACAAAGCCUCAUCAAAUGUUCUUAUUCAGCCUUCCUUAGAACUUGCCAAACUCUUUGUCUGCAUCCUCCCUCUUUCAGUUUUCAGUAUAACAGUUUUUUCAUAUUCACUCAUUACGGGGUAGUACUGCACUCAUUUUUCUCUCCCUCCUUUAUUUAACUUCUUCAUCCCAAAGAAAGCUAUAGCUGUGGUUGCUAUUGAAAAUAAUCCUAUACCACUAGCCCUCUUUCUGGAUAAAUAAUAUCUGGCAUAGUGUUUACACCCAGAACCUAUAAAAGAUCCCAAAAUAACAGUCAUUUACAUAAAAUAGACAAUAAAAGAUCCUAUAGACCUAUAAAAGAUCCCAAAAUAACAGUCAUUUACAUAAAAUAGACAAUAUUGCUAUGUCAACAUUUCUCAAAAGAAAACAUUCAAAUAUCCUACACACCAAAUUCAUUAUCUAUAACUGUAUUACAUUUUUCAUUAAUAUUCUAAUUCAUAUUAUUUAUCAUUUGGUUCUUCUGAAUUUCAAGUCACAGUCACAUCUUACCUUAUCCUACUUAGAAUGUCUAUGACAAUGUUGUCAAAGUUCAACCUAAGCUCAGAUCAUUUUACAACACACGUUUGCCAAACUGUUAGUUGUCCUCAAAAAUUAAAAUCGAAAGUUUUUAUGAACCAACACAUCUGGUCCUACUCACACAUCUUCAUUAGCCAUUAUUUCUAACCCAUGUCUGUGUAUGGUGAGAGUACCUGAGAGCAGUUUUAUGGAGCAGUUCCUUUCUCUUACUUUUUCUAUUUAUGACAAUACAAGCAGUACAUUUUACAGCCAAGGUUUAAGUUCUGGGUCUGUGGACAUAUGCCCUCAUUUAGUUAAGAUUAGAUUCCUCCCUUAAAUCAAAGUUGGAAACCAGAAUUCUUAUCUGAUCUCAAAAAUCUUUUACCAACUGUUUUGUUUUGUUGCUCUCCCCGGUGGACCUCAAUGGGCUGCUUUCUGGAUCCUCUAUCUUUAAUGCCUGAAUCAAAGUAAGUGUGGGUAACAGCCACAUGCUUUGUCAUGUUUUACUCAACAGCACUGUAUUGUUACUAAGCAUGAAACAGACCCCUAUAGAUCUCCUGUCAGAUUGACCUUUGAAAUGAAAUGGGCUUCUGUCCUGAGCAUGUCUUAUGUCUGAGGAUGGUUAACAGCACAUGUGUACAUGUACAUGUUGCUAUGAUCACCCAUGUGAGCUGUGCUCCUGUUGAAUGUUUGUAUUUUCCAUGCAUUGCUAGUGAAAUUAUUGGCAUAGGUGGUAAACAGUGUUGAUGAAAAGGAGGGGAGACUAAGCCUUUCUUGAGCCAAUGAUGAGAGUUUCCAAGGUAUGAAAGAGAUGAUGACCAUGUCUGUUUGGAACUCUGAGGUCCCACACACAGUAAGAAAAGGUCCUUGACGGAUCAUGCCAUAUUUUUAUCUUGUGCUCUGCUCUGCACUCUACAGAAUGCAUGCCCUGGAGGUGACUUCCACGUCUUUUCCUGCUCCCCAGCGGCACAUUUGUCUUUCUGCAUGGAGCUUGGCACAGUGUGAGUACCGGUUAGUGUCCCUGUUUUUCUGUGGUCUGUGGAAGGUUAGUGACUUCAUUAUUUCAAAGUAUCUAACAUGGGGAUAGUGAGAUGUCCCGGGGCUUGAAGGCACUUGCUGCCACCCCUGUUGACCCACAGUUGCUUCCCAGUACCCCAUGGUUGAGAGAGAGAACAGAUUCCUGAAUUUCGAGCUCUUGCCUUCAUAUACAUGUUCUUGGCAUGCAUGUUCAUAAACACAAAUGAAUAUAUUCAGUCAGAACAAGUCUUCAUUACAUCAAGCAUAAUCAAUGGCCACAUGCAGACUUAACAUAAGAUAAGACAUUGAGUUGGCCAUAUUUGAGAAUCCUAGGCUUCUCACCAAAGGAGACAGGUUAAGGUGAAUUGCUUAUUAAUAAAGGAGUGACUUCUAGACUGUUUCAGUAUUUAGUGGAAAUGGUAGCAUUUCCAUUUUCAUGCAUGAUUGAUGAUUCAAUAAAAACAAGCAUGGAAGUAACAGAAGUGGUUUAAGCCAGGCUGGGGCGAUAAUGAGCCCUUGUAGUAUGCAUCCAGAGUAAUGUACACGUGCCUGUCUCUCAGGUCCACUCUGCAGCAGAUCUGCUUUCUGUGUUCAUCUACUUAAAUGCUAUUUUAAUUCCUUGAAUGCCCAAUAAAUACAGAAAACAAUGAAGACAAGUAGUUGAAACAUUAUUCAGAUAGAAACAUGAGUCAAGGCAAAAAAUCCCCAUAAUAUAUUGAGUGUGGAAUGAAAAGAAAAUCAAGUAGCAUAUAACUGUUUUUUGUGUGUGGAGGAAAUAGUGUCAAUACCAGAUAAUGUCUAUUUUCUUGGUUAGAUGCAAGUUUGAAGAUACUAAUUUUACAAGACAUUAGUAUAAAUAUUUUUAAAUUAUGAUGGUUUGCAUGAAUGGCUCAGAUGACAGAUAAUCAUGGAAGAUAAAGCAAAAAAUGUGGGUUUUUUUUUAAACAAAAUUUUCUUUGUGCAUUCUCUUCAGAGCAGAUGCUCUCAAAUAUACUGACAUGUUUGUCCAUGGCCAGCAGCACUGGCUUGCUUCUCUUUAUAGGGCCUGGGACAGAGGGCAGUUCCAGUGUGCUCACCUCUGCUGCUUCCUCCUCCCUUCCCCUCUCCUUCCCUCCACUCUUCCCCUCUUCUUUCCCUCCCCUCUCCUCCCAUCCACUCUUCCCCUCUCCUCCCUCCCCUCUUCCUCCUCUUCCCUCUUUUUCUCCUCUUUCUUCCCCUUCCCUCUCCUCCCCUCCCCUAUCCUCUCCUCCUGCUCCCUCUUCCUUACCUAUCUUCCCCUCUCCUUCCCUCUCCUCCUCUUCCCUUUUUCUCCCCUCCCUUCUCCUCCCCCAUCUCCUCCCUUUCCCUCUUUUCUUCUCCUCCCCUUCCCUCUCCUCUUCUCCCCUCCCCUUCCUCUCCUUCUCUCUCCUUUCCUUCCCUCUCCUCUUCUCCCCUCCCCUUCCUCUCCUUCUCUCUCCUUUCCUUUCCUCUCCUCUUCUUUCCUCCUCUCCACUCUUCCUGUCUACCUCAAUCUUUCCCUCUCCUCUUCCUCUCCUCCCCUCCCUUUUCUCCUUUUUCUCUCCUCCUGUCCCGUUCCCUCUUCUUCAUCUCUCUUACCCUCUCUUCUCCUUCCCUCACCUCUUCUCCCCUCUCCACUUCUCCCCUCUCCUCUCCUCCAUUCUUCUUCUCCACUCUUCUCCUCCCCUCCCUUCCCUCUCGCCCUCUCUCCUCCCCUCUCCUUUCCCCUAUGCUACUCCUCCCCCACUCCUCUUCUCUGUACUCAGGAUAGACCAUAUAACUAGAGGAUUCUCCAAGAGUCAGGAGCUCCAUUUGUACCCUGCUGAAGAGCAAAGCAAGACCAGGGUGAGUUACAGGAAUCUCCUUGUCUUGGUUUGAGUACUUAAACAAUGUGUAGUAUAGUUAGUGAUGACCAUCUGAAUACCAAUGGUUGAUAGGGGACCACAUGAACAUGUCCAUUUGUAACACAAGUAUGUUAACUAGUGUGUAUUAUUACUGCGCUGGACACAUUAGAGAGAAUCCAUGCAUAGAUUAGGCAUAAUUAGACUGCUAGAGUUAAUGUUUUUGCAGGGGUGGGGUUUACUAGCCUACAGUUUAUAAUUAAAUAGUUAAUAGGCAAAGUAGAAAUAAUUAGAGAAAAGGAGACAAAUAUUUGCUUGAUGAUGCCCACCAGUGGCAUUUAAUUCAUACAUGAUGACUGUGUGUCUGAAACACCAAUAGUCAACGAAGAAUAUAAAUGACAUUAAGGUUGAAAGCAGUGGUGUCAUUGUUUUGUCCUUUGCUUUGCUCUGUUCCUUAAAAAAACUCUCCUAAGGGGAUCUAUUCAUCUUCAGUGGCUUCCAGUCCAUCAAUUGCCUCAGACAAUGUGGGAUCUGCUCAGAGUUUGUGUCAUGGUUCUGAUAGUUUGGGGAAGGUUAGUCUCUGUGUUACUAAGUAUAAAAUGCAUUCACAUUAGGUCAACGGUAACACAACUGUAACACCGAACAUACAUGCAAUUAAUAUGUUAGAUUAUUUUUAUAUAUAAAAAGGAUGGUGGUUAUUGAAGGAAACAUAUUCACAAUGUAGAAAUGAAUGGAAAAGAUAAGGCCAAUUUUGGAUUGAUGAUGACCACCUGUGGCAUAUGAGUUACAAAGAGUGACUCUGAGGUCCUUGAUAAAAUCCAGUUGUCACCAACAGAGGUGGAGUUGACAUUGGUCCUCAUGUGUUUGCAUUUUCUGCUGUUCAAUCAAUAAAUCUAAAAAUAAAGAUAAAUAAGAUUAACUGUGGCCCAAUUAUAAAAUAACAGAUGAACAGGACAUGCUUUUUCGGUCAAAUAGGGAUUAUACAUAUCUGCUCUUCAGCAAAUGAUUAAAGUUACAGUAUAAAGCAUAGCUAUAUGAAUGUGUGAACCAUUGCUAAGCUUGUUCCGUUAUUUAUGUGAGAGCUAAUUAAAUAGAUAUCCUUCUUUUAUAAAUGAUUAUCUAUGGCUGAGUAAGUGAAGGUCAUGAUCGAGGUCUAGAGCAAUAUCUUCAUUUUGCCUUUAUCUCUUCUGCUUUGCAUUCCUGGGGCCUUUUCUGUCUGGAGGAUGCCUUCAAGACCAAGAGCUCUGCUGACAUCAUGGCUGGCUCUGGGCAGACCACUGAUGCUGUACCCCAGCCAACCAGUUCCUAAUCAUGAAGAUCUCUUCCUUUGUUCACUGGAGAGAGAGACUGUCAUGAAAUAAUGGAUGCGCCUGGGCUCCUUUCCUCACUGCUUCAGGAUGAAGGCCCCAGCAUUGAUUGUCCAGCCAGGCGCAGUAUGGAUCUGGGCCUCGUUCCUGUUUCUGCAUCCUUCCUUCAGACUGAGUGAUGAUGUGGAACACAGUUCACCCCUCUGGAUUUGACCUUGGUCCCCACCAUUCACCCAAGAAGAACUCAGCCAUGAGAGCCACUGUGCUCAGCUCUUAGGCCAAGAUUGAUGUGGCCAGAACUAUCCUACACCCAGGAUAUAAGCAAGCUUCUUGGUCCUAGAUUCCCAGAUUUAAGAGCUCACAGAAAGCACCCAUGCUGGUCACCAAAUGGAUUGGAUGAGGUCCACAUAGGAAGCAGUGGACACUGGAGGCCUAUGUCACGGUCCCCCGCUGCAGAACCUUUAGAGGCCUGGUUGCCUGAUCCAGCACCCUGUGAGGAAAAACGCCAGGGGCACAAUGCCAGUCUUACUGGGUAAGCUCUGAUUUUUCUGGUUACUCUCAAUGCUGUGUGUCUGGGACAAGACCAGACUUGACUGGGUGGAUGCUUAGGUUGUAAGCACUGAAAGAUGAGCUUUCCAACUGAGCUGGAGUGUCUGUGCAGCCUGUGGGGAGCCAGGUACACUGGCUUCUCCUAGAGAGUAGCACUAGCUACUUCUGGCAGUGGCUUCUCUGAGUGGAAGGCAGAAAUGGCUAGACAAGUCUCCCAUUUCCACAAAUGACUAGAUAGCAGGGUGCUUCCUGGCAGCUUGAGCUGGAGCUUGGGCUAACUUCUGUUACCCCACAUUUUAAGAAAUGAUACAAACAAGCCAGUUGUUGUGACACAUGCACUUGUAAGCCCAGCUCUGGAGAGGCUGAGGCAGGAAAACUGCAAGUUGCCAGCUAGCCUGGUCUUCAGUCAGUUACAAUUUUUGACCUACAAACUCUUGUGGGGAAGCAGAGAAGCAAGAGCCAUGUGGGGGCUCUCCUCUAAAAGAUUUCUAAAGAAAUCACAUUUAUCACAUGAUAUUUAAAAGUCAAUGCUUUCUCAUUAAUAAAAGAAAUAGUAUUGGGGAAAGUAUAGCUUCAGCACUCAAAGAUAACCACUGCCAAUAUUUGGCUAACAGUGCUUGGGUUUUGGUUUAUUCCUAUAAAAUGUAAGUGUGUGUGUGUGUGUGUGUUUAAUUGAGCUCAUCCUUGCUAUUUUUUCUCAUCUGCUUAUGUAUCCUAAACUCUGCCCCAUGCCAUUCAGUAAUUUACUAUCUUUGUUUUCUUAAUGGUCACAAAGGAGUCUAGCCAGUGUCUAUAACUGACUAUUGCUCUGUGCAGAAAGACACAAAAGCUGGGUGGCAUAUGUUAGGGACCCUCCACGUGCUCCCACUUCAUGGCUUGGUCUGGUGUCUUGCUGCUCUUUGUAAUAGUGGGUGGCUCUGUCAGGAGGCUUGAGCUCUUGGCAAACUACCCUCUGCAAACUUUUCGCCCAUUCCAUUUUCAGAGUUAGUUUGAGAAAGUGCCUGCUGCUCUGGGAAUUAUCGGAGUUUUUAACCUUUGCCAAUUUGUCAAAACAUGACAUUUCACCGUUUCCAUCCCCACAGCUUUUAUCGCAGCAGCACAGAGCACUUUUCCGCCCUCUUUGUGGGGUAUUUGUAUCUGAAUUGCCAGCUCAGGCUCCUUGCACUUUUCAUUAUUCCUUUAGUUUUUAUGUUUUUUUUGUCAAACUCAUGCAUACACAUCAUUUUAAGAACAAGAUCUUUCUACAAGACUGUCAGGGAACCAUCAACCCUCCUACCCUCCCGGCUCCGCCCGUAUAGUAUGCGUUACCUGUAACUGCUUUAACUGAUUCUCUUGACAUUUACAUCCUAAUGCUAAGUAAUAUUCUUGUUUUUCUGCUUCUUGAUUUUCUUUCUUUGUGUGUGUGCUUUUUAUUUUUUUUUAAGCCUAGGAAUAAUUUUGCUUGCUCUAUUGUUGAAGACAAGCAUUUAUCUCUCUUUUACAUACGCCCUUGUCUUCACCCCCUUCACACACAACCCUGUACUAUCCUCCCAAGAGAUUAUUUUGAAAUGCAGGCUUGAUCAAUACUCAUGAGUUUACACCCUUCUAAGAGUGUGAACAUUAUCACAAAGCUGAACAAUGUGGUCCUAAUUAUUUAUCUACUCCCUAGUAUUUUUUUUUUCUUCUGGAGUGGUGUGUAUAUGUGUGUGUGUUUCUCUUUGGUUGUUCAGUUUUGUUUUGUUGUUGUUGUUUUGUUUUAUGUAGCUCAGGCUAAUUCACAGCCUUUCCAUACAUACAAAGAUAUGAGUUGUGUAAGACGUAUGUAUAUCAUGUUGAAGAAAUUUUUUUUUGAAGACAGCUUUCCUAUCUUCUCAUGGGCUAGUUCAUCUUUGGGCUGAAACCAUCUUAAUUACCCCAUCUUCUCUUUCUAGGGAUAGGUUUCUUUGGUUUUCCUUCCCUAGAUAGGCCCUUGGUUUUUAUAGAUACCAUAAUAUUUAUUUGGGGGGGGGGUUACUUCUGUUUUUCUAAAAUUUUAAGAGAAAAAGUUCAUGAAAAGUAAACUUUUAGAGAUCUUUCACAUUUGAAUAGGAAAUGUCCACAUUGACCAUGGAUAAGUCAGCUAGGUAUAAAAUUCUUUAAGUUACAGAUUUUUUUCCCUCAGA